CAAGUUGCGGCAGGGGAGGUUUAGGUUGGAUAUUAGGAAAAAAUUCUUUCCUGAAAGGGUUGUCAGCACUGGAAUAGGCUGCCGAGGGAAGUGGUUGAGUCACCAUCCCUGGAGGUAUU